AUGUCCCUUAGGAUUGCCAACGUGAUCCACACGCUCAUCUCACCAGCACAGUCGGCAUUUCUUCGGACAAAAUGCAUCCACGAUAGCUUCCUGUACGUUCAAAGCUGCAUCAAGGCCCUACAUAGACGGAAAACACCGGCUCUGCUUCUUAAGUUGGACAUAGCCAAGGCCUUUGACAAUGUAUCUUGGGAGUACAUCCUUGAGAUGCUGCAACAACAGGGUUUUAGUGCGCGAUGGAGAGAUUGGAUAUCUUUGCUGCUGUCCUCAUCCUCGUCAUCCUUCCUCCUCAAUGGCGUUCCAGGAAAAAGGAUCCGACACCGGAGAGGCCUUCGACAGGGCGACCCCUUGUCACCUUUCAUCUUCAUCCUAGCGAUAGACACACUGCACCACCUACUU
rnacentral:rRNA from 1 species